ensembl:lncRNA
UUUUCCCAUUGGCAUUGUGUCAUAAUUCCAUGAAGUCACUACUAACUGCCAUUGAGGAGGACUGGGACUGCGGUUCCCCCCCACCAUGUGUGCAAGGGCAGCAAAAGGGAAGACACGUCUGGAACACUGCCACGUGUGCUGGUGUUGGUGUCCGCUAUGACGAAUUGCCUUGCUGACUCUGGAGCUGACGUGUUUUGACUGCUGAAUGCCAUGCCUGGCUGGGAGUCCUUCACCCAGCCUUGGCGCCGUAUAUCCGAGCUCUCCUGUCUGACUUGAGAGACUUCGUUAAUCUCUGUGGAGCCCUUGGGAACUCAUAGAGAAUUGCAACAUGUCAUCAUUGGUACACAAAGAAACAUUUUAUUCCAUACUAUUACCAGGAGCCCAUUUUAUUAUCCGUCCCCAUUUUGCUUGAGUAUCAUGGAAUGAAGCAACUGGAAGGCUCUUCUUCCCCCGGAGAACAACCAGCCCUUCACAGCGUGUGGCCCUUGCUUGGACUCACUCAGGGUGUACGUGGGCCUGUGCAGAACCCCGUGCACACACGUACACCCGCAGAAGUGCGCUCGGGUCACUCGCUUGUCACCAGAAAAAAAGGUGGAAGGCACACGUCAGUGACAACAGCACCAUCUUCUGUCUGCAGAGAUUAUGAAGCCUGCAUUCACGCUUGCCCGAGUACUCCAGAGAUGGGGCUGGUUGAGACUCCUCGAUCUACAGCUGGAUCUUGAACUCUUCAUGAGCUUGAGUGUCUGAACAAGUCUGAUUGUAUGUGGGGAAGCGUGGGUGUAUGAAAAGCUACAAAAGCUUCAGCUCUCAUACCACUUAUCCCUGGAGCAACCUUUUCAUCUGCCUUUUAUUAUCCUCCCCACAAAAACUCAGUUGCAAAACUUAGACUACAUUUUCCUUCCCUGUGGCUUGAUAUAUUGC